UCUGCACCCAGUAACCACCGGAUAAAUACGACUGGUGGGACCCACAAAGGUUCCCGCUUUCUCCACCAGGGACCAGUUUGGAAGGGAAGCAGCAUGGCUUAGCGGAUAGAGCACGGGACUGGAAGUGAGAAACUCCCAUCCCCGGGAAAAGUUCAGAAACGGCUGCUCCUCGGAAAAAGAUCCGUCUUCGGUCCAAGCGGAAAUGGGAAAAGACACCUGGGAGAGUAUUUAAUUGUAAAUAAAAGCCCCGGGCCACCUGGGUCUGCAACGGUC